GAAGGUCUGUAGCUCAGCAGUAGAGCAUGUGAUUUGAAUGCACAAGGUCCCAAUUCCAAUCUCUGGCAUCUUUA